UAAUUACUCCCUCCGUCCGAAAAUACUUGUCAUCAAAAUGGAUAAAAAGAGAUGUAUCUAAAACUAAAUACGUCUAGAUACAUUUCCCUUUAUCCAUUUUGAUGACAAGUAUUUCCGGACAGAGGGAGUAUUUG
rfam:Triticum aestivum genome assembly, contig: Triticum_aestivum_CS42_TGACv1_scaffold_030499_1BL